CUUUCUUUGCUGGCGACCGGCGCACGGGUGAGUAACACGUAUCCAACCUGCCCUUUACUCGGGGAUAGCCUUUCGAAAGAAAGAUUAAUACCCGAUAGCAUAAUGAUUCCGCACGGUUUCAUUAUUAAAGGAUUCCGGUAAAGGAUGGGGAUGCGUUCCAUUAGGUUGUUGGUGAGGUAACGGCUCACCAAGCCUUCGAUGGAUAGGGGUUCUGAGAGGAAGGUCCCCCACAUUGGAACUGAGACACGGUCCAA
rnacentral:rRNA from 1 species